rnacentral:rRNA from 1 species
GAUCUGGCUCAGGAUGAACGCUAGCUACAGGCUUAACACAUGCAAGUCGAGGGGAAACGAUAUUGGAAGCUUGCUUCCGAUAGGCGUCGACCGGCGCACGGGUGAGUAACGCGUAUCCAACCUGCCCACCACUUGGGUAUAACCUUGCGAAAGUAAGACUAAUACCCAAUGAUAUCUCUAGAAGACAUCUGAAAGAGAUUAAAGAUUCAUCGGUGAUGGAUGGGGAUGCGU